AAACUUUCAACAACGGAUCUCUUGGCUCUGGCAUCGAUGAAGAACGCAGCGAAAUGCGAUAAGUAAUGUGAAUUGCAGAAUUUAGUGAAUCAUCGAAUCUUUGAACGCACAUUGCGCCCCUUGGUAUUCCGAGGGGCAUGCCUGUUCGAGCGUCAU
rnacentral:rRNA from 1 species